GAUGAAGAACGUAGUGAAAUGCGAUAACUAAUGUGAAUUGCAGAAUUCAGUGAAUCAUCGAGUCUUUGAACGCACAUUGCGCCCCCUGGUAUUCCGGGGGGCAUGCCUGUCCGAGCGUCAUUGCUGCCCUCAAGCACGGCUUGUGUGUUGGGCCCCGUCCUCCGAUCCCGGGGGACGGGCCCGAAAGGCAGCGGCGGCACCGCGUCCGGUCCUCGAGCGUAUGGGGCUUUGUCACCCGCUCUGUAGGCCCGGCCGGCGCUUGCCGAUCAACCCAAAUUUUUAUCCAGGUUGACCUCGGAUCAGGUAGGGAUACCCGCUGAACUUAAGCAUAUCAAUAAGCGGAGGA
rnacentral:misc_RNA from 1 species